GGAGAGGUGGCAGAGUGGUUGAAUGCACCGCACUCGAAAUGCGGCAUACGGGCAACCGUAUCGAGGGUUCGAAUCCCUCCCUCUCCGCCA
rnacentral:tRNA from 1 species